rnacentral:tRNA from 1 species
GCCGGAGUGGUGGAAUGGUAGACGCGGCGGACUCAAAAUCCGUUGAGCUUGCGCUCAUGUGGGUUCAAGUCCCACCUCCGGCA